rnacentral:rRNA from 1 species
GUUCCUGGCUCAGGAUAAACGCUGGCGGCGCACAUAAGACAUGCAAGUCGAACGGAAGUCGUUACGAAAUGGAAUGAAGAUUUAUCUGAUUGAAGUUUUGUAACAAUGGCUUUAGUGGCGGACUGGUGAGUAACACGUAAGCAAUCUACCUAUUAGAGGGGAAUAACAAUGAGAAAUCAUUGCUAAUACCGCAUAAGCUUGUAGUACCGCAUGGUACAGCAAGAAAAGGAGCAAUCCG